GUGUGCUGCAGGUCCACGAUCCGCUUGCCCACGUACUCAUAGAGCAGGACGGCCCGGUCAUGACAUCCUGGGGGUUGUGGAGACAAGACCCAGCACUGGACACAGAACAGGGCUCAGCAAAUCUGCGACUAAGGCAGAGCAUGAAGAGACAAGAGAGGCAGCGCUGUGCCACGCAUCAGGACCACCUGCUGGACCCUGACCGAGAUGCAGCAGGCAAGAUCAGAGGCCCGUGGCACAGUCCAUGACGCUGGACACGGGAGACAGUAACAAAUGCGUCUUCACACUCCACCAGGCCUGCCAGGCCUGGAGCUCACCAGUCCACCCCAAACUCCUGCUGGGCAAACAAUGAACUGAAGUUUUUCCUAA